AUACUAAUUCCCCACCACUUAUCAACAGAAAACCAUCCUGUGGAAAUUUGGCAUUAAAAUGGCUCUGGAGCUGCAAAAGAACCUGAAAGACACAUGCAGUUGGUGGACCAUAAAGGGCCCAUCCUUAGAAGCAGCAUCUACCUAUCUAUCAUGUUGCAUCUAGGGGUAUAGUGGCCAUUUAUUUACUUAACAGAGAGGAAAAAUACAUUGAAGUUCAUUUUCAUCUUCAAGUACCUUGUGUUUUGGAGCUGCAAUGUAUAAACAGUGCAGGAAUUACUUGUAAAUAAUCUGACUGGAAAUUUUAGUUGUGAAAUACAGGGUUUGGGUUCAUGAGUAAUUGAACCAUAAAUUUACUAAAUUAAUUCAAUUGCCUAGGAUUGCAUGACCCAGUGAACCUUAGAUUAAUUAUACUGGUUGAAUUUGCAUAAUAUAUUCCACCACAAACUAAACGGAUAUCUCACCAACUACAUUUUAUUCUGGAAUGUUGUGCUUACUUAACUUAUGGUUCAUUGGGUCACCCAAACUCAGAAAACUGGGUUAAUUGAGAAAACAAUGGGUAUCUUAUGCAUGGAUAAGGGUCUUGUGUGAUUACAGCAAAGAAGCCACAGUUUAGCCAAGUGGAUUAUGUGAACCCAACCUUCCCUGCAGCUUCUUAAGAAAUAAGAGGGUGAAUCCUGGUGAUCUGCAAUAGUGGAAGAGUUGAAUUGUUCCUGCUUGGUAGAACUUCACAAUAAGCAGUUCCCUCCCAAUCCAUAAUUCCAGUUAUAGAUUAAGUUUAUCCCAUCCAAUGGAUCUGUUUCUGAGACUGUAGGUAAUAUCCAAUUUUCUUUACUUAAAGCCUGGACUUUUCUAGCAUAUUCUUUCAUACGCUAGAAUGAAAUAUGUAAACAUAUAUACAUGCUGUGAGCAUAAAUAGUUUUCUUGAUCUGCAACAUGAAAUGCAAGUUAAAUAAAAGCAAUACAUUAAAUUUAUCCAUCAUCAUGCACAGUGGAAAUAGAAAUUGGAGGUGAAGAAAUCACUGAUCAUUUCAUAAAAGCAUUUUCACCUCAUAUCUUAUACUGCUAUUCUGUUUUAAAAUAAUAUCCCCCAAGUUAUGUAUGAGCUUUUAAUUUUUUUAAAAAAAGUAUAUAUUCAUGCUCAUGUGUAUUGUGAUCCUAACUGUAUAGAGAAAAGAGUCUCUCAUCCCUACAUUCAGUUAUUGUCCUCAUACAAAAAUAGCCUCUUUCAUAUGUAACUUUAUGCUAUUGUUAUGUAGAUAAAUUUUGGGCAGGAAACAGUUUGGAAACAUUGUCUUCCCCUUUUAACAGGAGCUUAUUAUUUUUUCUGAAUGUUGGCCAAAUUGGAUAAUGAUCAGGCUGACUUGGAAUGUAAGAUAGUAUAGGCCAGGCCACAAGAUUAGGGAAGGCUGCUCUAAUUUUACUUUAAAAUGAACAAUCCCUAUGAGUUUGGACAAGAUGAAAAAAACCUCCCAGUUAAUUAAAAGCAGAAGCGUAACUUCCAAUUUCUUCCUCAAAGCUAUGCCAGAGAAAGGGGCAAAGAAAGUGUGCAUAGCCACCGUUCAUGGAUGUAAUGCUAAAUCAUUAUUUAGUGUAGCAUUUGUAACGGAUCACUGAAUUCUUUAGUUGGAAAGCCAGUGUUAAUAAUUUAUUAAUCACAGUACAUAAUUCAGAAACACUGGACUUACAAAAGAAGCCCAAAUACACCAGAAAGGUGUAAUUUUAAAGAAAGGUAAAUACUAUUGUUAGAAGAAUAAUUGGGGGGGGGGGGGGGGGUUCUGUGAGCUGGGGUUGCGCAAGAACAAAUCCCAGCUCUCAAGAACAAAUCAAAAAUGAAAUCCAGACAUACUGUGAGAGAAGGUGAUUCAUUUAUUCCCAAAAGCAAAAGAGGUUGGUUUUGGGGGGUUGGCUGCACAAAAAUGAGAGACUUGGUUUCAUAAGCAGGACUGGUCCUUGGUGUGGACUUGGUGCGGGGCAUGGUUUGUGUAUGUGCUCGUUCUAAAGUCAUGGUCCAAAGGUAAUUGGCCUUCCUGUGCAGAUUGAGGUGUUCCUGUCUUCGGCUUUGAUCCUGAGGUGUUUAUGAAAUAUGGAAUGAAAGAUUGUCCUCAGAUAUAUAGAUCCCUCCCUAGGUGUGGAUUUAUUGUGAGCAUCUUCCUUUAUCCUGAGGGGAUCCCUGCCCCCCCAAUGGAGCCAGUGAGUUAUAUCAAUAAUCUAAUUUGGAAGUGGAGAAGCUUUUUGGACCUCAACAAUCAGGAGUGCUGGCCAGAUUCCAUGAUGUGCCUCCAAAGCUGCCCAGCUAAUGAAUGUUAGGAAGAACUGAGAAUUAUGAUAAUAUGGGUGUAUUUCCAGGCUGUUUCUAGCUUCAUCUGCUAGGCAAUGGAAUCAGCAGUAUCAGUUCCAGGCAAUUUGAUCUAUGCCACACCACAAUCACCUGUUCAGGAAAGGCUUGUAGUGAUAUGAGCAUUACAGAGACCAUCUGAACAUGGACAACUUAUGGUGUUUGUCAUGUGGAACUACCUAUAGAAAUCUAUAUAGCCAUAUCUAAUAAUGGAAAUAUUCCCCAGAGGUCAUUGGACAUUUUAUAAUUGUGUAAGCCAACCAGUGUUUAAUGGAGUGGUCAGCUUAUUGUUAUUUCUAAGUAUACCUUCCUAGGUAUUUUUAAAUUUCUCUAUCAAAAAUACAAAUCCAUAUCCACUGUUUUUUUCUAGUUCAUU